AAGUUUGAAGUUACUGUUAUCUGGAGCAUAAAACAAGCUUAUGAGAAGUGAUUGAGGUUUGUGGUCAGGAUAUGGAUGUGAUCACACACACACACACACACACACACACAAUCAGCACUGGGGAUUUCCUGGCAGAGGAUGGAUUGUUCAAGGAGAGCCUGGGUAACAUAGUGAGAUGCUGACUACCAAUAAAUGGAAAAAUAUUCUAUUUAAAUUUUAAACAGAAUUAGUCUCAGAAUUUACUCUGUGUAAGUCAAAUAUGGAAUACAGCUCUCAUUAUCACACUGUCUUCCCAAUUUUCUUAGAAAAAUCAGAAAGCCGAUUUUAUUACUUAAGAAAAUACCAAGAGCCAUUACUCUUGUUUUUAUAGCAAAUAUAACAUAAAAGACCAAUUGGGGAAUUGUUGGUGAUUUGAGUAUCAAUCCACAUUGAGAUAGUAAUGGGGAACAAGUAAAAACUUGUAAAUAAUUGCAACUGUUGUUUCUGGAAGAUAGAGGCCCAUCUGACUAUUCAUCCUUACCCAAGGUCAAAUCCAGCAGAUUGUCAGUGUGCUAGCCUCAUUGUUUGUAAUCGCCUCAAAAAUUUAACCGUGUGUGUGUCUGUGUGUGUCUGUGUGUUUAUACAUGUGUGUGAGAAUGUACAUGUUAACUAUAUCCCUUAUGUGAAGAUCAGAAAACAAUUUUGGCAAUUGGCCCUCUCCUCCACUGUGUAUAUUCCAAGGACUGAAUUCAAGUCCUCGGGCCUAGAAGCAAGCUCCCUUACCUGACAAGCCAUCUUUCUGUCCUGUAAUCCACCUUCACUGGAUUUUCCAAUUCUCUGUGGCUCUCUUUUUGGUCCCCCCACCCCCUUUUUGGUCUGUUUUGAAAGUUUCUUCCUUUUCUGGCCUUCUGUGACCUCCCAUCAUUUGCAUAUGGAGCACUAGAUAUUUUGUGAAUGAAUUAAUCAUAGUUUUUUUACUAGAGGAUUGAUGGGGAUAAAUUAUCUUGAAUGAUGUAAAACACUGCAGAGAAUUCUUUGUUAAAAUGAAUGGAUAGGUGUGCAGAAGACUUUAAAUCAUUGAUCAAGCCUAAAAAUCAUUAUUUAUAAACUUUGAAAUAAUGCCAAACUGCAAGUAAAGAUGAGCAUUUCUGCUUCAAUUAAUUGUGCCAUUUCCAAAUGGGAAAACAUUCUAUUUUUUUUUUGGAGACAAUGGCAAUUGCAUCAUCCAGACCAGAGCAUUGGAUAGAGGCCAGCAUUCAAAUACACACACACACACACACACACACACACACACCACAAAUGCACACAGAGAAGCAUACACAUAAGCAUACACACACACACACAUGCGUGCUGCUUACAUCAUUUGGACGUGUAUAAUCUGGAUGAGCUAGAUCCUGUAGUGAGCAACUGUAGUAUCUAAAGUUGUAUUGAGAUUUUUAGUUCAUUGCUACUUCAAGAGAAGUGAUAGAUUCCCACUCCAUUUGACACCUUGUCAGGUUGCUGUGCGGUAUUAUUUGGAGUUGGACUCUGGGUCGUAUUAAACUAUACCAGCAAACUCCCAUUCAUGCAUAAAGCCCAAAAAGGUUAACAACGUAAUUGGAUCAUUGUCAGCAUUCAUAAACCCUUCUAUGGCCAAAACUAUAGUGAAAUUGUUUUCUCCAGUUCAAGUUGUAGAAUUCCCAGAACACAGGUGCAAAAGAACUGCCACACUAUGAGAGAGUUGCAGAGUAAAACGUCUAUGUAAACAUAUCAGAUGUAUUACAGUAAUACCGUCUGUGCUUACUCAGUUCUCCUUGGCUCGGUUUUAUGUACAAACUAAACUAUUAGGAUCCCUUUCAUUGUUCCUUCUGGCAGCUCUGUCUAACUUCUGCCCCAGGGUCUGGAAUGUUCAUCACGGCUGCCUUUGGCAAUAAAAACCAAAGCACCCUCAGAUCCUCAUAUUUCUCUUUGCACCUGGUCGGCAGAGCACAGUGGGGCACAGAGCUGACGUGAGUGCAGCUUUCCCCUCAUGCCCUCAUCUUACUGGCCAAAAUAUCAAUUUAUCCACUUUGGAAUUAACUCCUUUAGUGUGUCUCUUUUUCGAGUUAAAUGGGAGAGCCGGACCAUGCUUUUUAAAUAAAACUAUCCACUUUAUAAUCAGAUGCAGAAUCAAAGUUACAGAUAUACAGAGACAAGUGCUCUGGAGUCCAAAUAACCACACUUACAGGACAUCAUAUGUGAAUGUCGCCUCCUUUCUCUGGGUUCCCUUAAUUUAAAUGAGUAUGGAAUGACCCAGCUUUUGAUUUUGCCAUAAAGACUGCUCUUAGGCAAAUAUACAGUGUAGAUAACUGUGUUUAAAACUACCAGACAGAAAGGUUAACAGCCUUAAAAGGAAAGUGUAAUUGUUUAGUGGUGCAGCGGUGCAGUUUCAAAAUUGCACUGAUUGAGGGCCAGCAUGGUUCCUAGGCUGUGUAAUCUCAGGGGGGGGGUAACCAUUUUUGUAGAAUUCCUAGUGCAUUGAGCAAUGCUCCUUUCUCCCUGAAUACUCAGAAGUAAGAUUUCCUGUCUCUGACACAUUGGCUUUAUCCUGUCCCAGGCUUACUUCAGUGUUCCUUCUGUGUACCAACAGGAAGCCAUCUCUCGAAUGAGUAUAUCCUUUUGGCAGGAUGAAUCGGGAAGUUCUGCUUUGAAAGCCUGUAGGUGGCUAACUCACUUCAGCCAGACAUGGUCCAAUGAGG
rnacentral:lncRNA from 1 species